AUUAAAGGGUCCUUUACAACUUGGUGUAAUUAUUUUGGAAGAAAGAGCACUUGUUUCUUCAAGUUGACAACUUGGUCAAGUGAAAAAGAUUGUAGAAAAAGAUUUUGGCGAACUUGAAACUUGAUUUUGGAGACGUGUAUGAAGCGGAAAAGGUCAGCAGACAGGUGGACGUGAUCCUUAGAAGCUCUACCAGCCGCACUUGACAGCGCUCCAGUUGUUCCGGAGCCUCAC